rnacentral:misc_RNA from 1 species
GUAGGUGAACCUGCGGAAGGAUCAUUACCAAAUCCAAAAAAAACUUUAUCAACACCCAAUGUGAACUGAGAGUGGUUUCGUUCCCCUCCUUCUUCCUUCUUUCUUUCCUACUCUUUUCUUAGAGUGGGAGGGGAAUGAGGGGUUGGCGGGAGGGGAAUGCCUUUUUUUUUUAACCCCUUUACAACUAUACAACCAUUAUUUAUGCUGAAAGCAAACCAAAAACGAAACAUGAGACAACUUUUAACGGUGG